rnacentral:rRNA from 1 species
AGUGAACGCUGGCGGCAGGCCUAACACAUGCAAGUCGAACGCCCCGCAAGGGGAGUGGCAGACGGGUGAGUAACGCGUGGGAAUAUUCCCUUUGGUUCAGGAUAGCCCCGGGAAACUAGGAUUAAUACUGGAUAAGAUCUACGGAUGAAAGAUUUGUCGCCGAAGGAUUAGCCCGCGUAAGAUUAGUUAGUUGGUGAGGUAAUGGCUCACCAAGACAAUGAUCUUUAGCUGGCCUGAGAGGAUGAUCAGCCACACUGGAACUGAGACACGGUCCAGACUCCUACGGGAGGCAGCAGUGAGGAAGAUUGGACAAUGGGCGCAAGCCUGAUCCAGCCAUGCCGCGUGAGUGAUGAAGGCCUUAGGGUUGUAAAACUCUUUUAGUGGGGAAAAUAAUGAUGGUACCCACAGAAAAAGCUCCGGCUAACUUCGUGCCAGCCGCCGCCGUAA